rnacentral:rRNA from 1 species
CCUACGGGAGGCAGCAGUGAGGAAUAUUGGUCAAUGGGCGGAAGCCUGAACCAGCCAAGUAGCGUGCAGGAUGACGGCCCUACGGGUUGUAAACUGCUUUUAUACGGGAAUAACGCGCCUUACGUGUAGGGCUUUGCAUGUACCGUAUGAAUAAGCACCGGCUAACUACGUGACAGAAGCCGCGGGAAUACGGAGGGUGCGAGCGGGCAUAGGAAUUACUGGGCGUGAAGGGUGCGCAGGCGGUUGAUGAAGACAGAUGUGAAAUCCCCGAGCUUAACUCGGGAAUUGCAUAUGUGAAUGCUCGACUAGCGUGUGUCAGAGGGAGGUGGAAUUCCACGUGUAGCAGUGAAAUGCGUAGAUAUGUGGAAGAACCCCGAUGGCGAAGGCAGCCUCCUGGGACAUAACUGACGCUCAGGCACGAAAGCGUGGGGAGCAAACAGGAUUAGAUACCCGAGUAGUC